rnacentral:rRNA from 1 species
GAUGAACGCUGGCGGCGUGCCUAACACAUGCAAGUCGAGCGGUAUAUAUUGGAAUGAAACUUCGGUCGAGUGAAGAUAUAGAGAGCGGCGGACGGGUGAGUAACGCGUGGGCAACCUGCCUCAUACAGAGGGAUAGCCUCGGGAAACCGGGAUUAAAACCUCAUAAAGCCAUUGAUUCACAUGUUUCGAUGGCCAAAGAUUUAUCGGUAUGAGAUGGGCCUGCGUCUGAUUAGCUGGUUGGUGAGGUAACGGCCCACCAAGGCAACGAUCAGUAGCCGACCUGAGAGGGUAAUCGGCCACAUUGGAACUGAGACACGGUCCAAACUCCUACGGGAGGCAGCAGUGGGGAAUAUUGCACAAUGGGCGAAAGCCUGAUGCAGCAACGCCGCGUGAGCGAUGAAGGCCUUUGGGUCGUAAAGCUCUGUCC